rnacentral:rRNA from 1 species
GUCGAGAAUUUUUCACAAUGGGGGAAACCCUGAUGGAGCGACGCCGCGUGGGGGAUGAAUGGCUUCGGCCCGUAAACCCCUGUCAUUCGCGAUCAAUGCGUGUUGUUUAAGAGAUGACAUGUUGAUAGUAGCGGAAGAGGAAGGGACGGCUAACUCUGUGCCAGCAGCCGCGGUAAUACAGAGGUCCCGAGCGUUGUUCGGAUUCACUGGGCGUAAAGGGUGCGUAGGUGGUGAGGUAAGUCGGAUGUGAAAGCUCGGAGCUCAACUCCGAAAUGGCAUUGGAAACUACCUUGCUAGAGGUUUGGAAGGGGGACUGGAAUGCUUGGUGUAGCAGUGAAAUGCGUAGAUAUCAAGCGGAACACCAGUGGCGAAGGCGAGUCCCUGGACAACACCUGACACUGAGGCACGAAAGCUAGGGGAGCAAACAGGAUUAGAAACCCGAGUAGUCC